GUUAUUAUUAAUGUUAAUGGUUACAUUUCCUUAUUGUUGCUCGUGUGUUUACCCGAGUCCUGUGUGUACCCGGUCGGAUCCUCGUGUGCAGUUAGCUUAUGUAAAUCUCCCACCGUGUGUGCAUCCCACAGUUCGGCACCUGACAACCUUGUAUUUCCUACAGUAGUUUAAAAAAAAACCCUGAUUUCACUGUCAAUGUCCGAGACUUUGAAUCUUCACAAUCAUUUUAGACGCAUCAGGAUAUGUUCACGAAAAAACAAUCAAACGUUAGCUAACCCAGCUACUCAAAAUAUUUCUCCUGUGAUACUACAUGGAGGUGCACCCACAUGAUCCUCCUGUCUCUGAUGACUGGUAGGACCUACAAUCUUGUCCAUCUGGUUGCAAUUACUGCAAAAUUUAAUUGUUUUUUUUCACUCUAACAUUGACUCAUGUUAGUUCUUUUCCAAGAUUGAUAUUUAAGGCAUUUCCAAAAAUAGUAGUCAUCAGUCAUCAUCUGUUAUUGCGUUUGUUUGUAUCUUGUUCUGUAGAGCAGCUCGCAAACGGAGGCCUGACCUCCACCCCGGUAGUCACAAAGCAGGCAGAGCAGGCCUCCUGUCACACUCUGCCAGGCAAGAAGGGAGUGGCAUGGGUCAGACGAGGGGCUCAGGAAGGCUUAAUGGUGCCAAGGCAUCCUGUGCCACUAAGGGUGGUCUCUCAUCAUCCAACAAUUCGUUACACAAAUGAUUUCGACACCAAGCCAGUCUGCUUGGUGUCUCAGGCACCAUACAGAAGUGAUUUGACCAGAAAGAGACCAAUGCAGGUCCUCACUAAUAGACCCUGACCACUUGCUACACGCUUCUCAGACAAAUCCAAAGUCCCUUUUCUGCACACAUUAACACACAAAGAAUUAUCGCCCACUCAGCAACCCAGGGCUACUUAAAGCCACUAAAGGAAAAAUACUGAGUAAAUGUCACAAAUGAUGGAGAAAUUUUAUUCCUGUGUACAAUAGUUUUCAUAAUUUUUUGUAAUUUUAAAGCAUUUAGCUUGAAGCGUACAAAAAUACACAUUUUGGGCUGACGGUAGGCCGAACAUCAGUGCUAGCUGCCCCUCUGAUUGGUGAGUCCCCAGGCAGCUGUUCCCACCGGGAAGGGAGCAGCAGGAGGAGCAGCAGGAGGAGCAGCAGGAGGAGCAGUAGGAGGAGCAGCAAGUCAAAGAAGGAGAAGCUCAAAGACACAGCUUUUCAUCAUCCAUGGGAGUCGUUUCCGGUUUCAGUUUAAAAUUUGGUUUUCAGAUGCUAUUCCCAAAAGCCCCAGCGUUCACCCAGUGAUAAUCCAGUGCCUGUCUGGACACGCUGCGGGACUGGGAUGGCUCCCGGGGACCAGCACAUGCACUGCAGAAGUGCCUGGACACGUCGGUCUCCGAGCCAGAAACGACACAGUAACGUUAAGCAGCACCAGGAGGCUGCGGAGAGAGGUGCAGGGCGGGCAACCUCGACACUACAUGGGGUCCUCCAUGAGCAGGGGCUUGCUGUCAGAGCCACAGUCCUGGAGCCGGCCGUACUCGAAGUCGCUGGAGCCUUCCUGGAGGCUGCGCUCGUGAGCGUUGUCGAAGCUGUUCUUGCCG